rnacentral:rRNA from 1 species
AGAGUUUGAUCCUGGCUCAGGACGAACGCUGGCGGCACGCUUAACACAUGCAAGUCGAACGAGAGAAGAGAAGCUUGCUUUUCUGAUCUAGUGGCGGACGGGUGAGUAACACGUGAGCAAUCUGCCUUUCAGAGGGGGAUACCGAUUGGAAACGAUCGUUAAUACCGCAUAACAUAAUUGAACCGCAUGAUUUGAUUAUCAAAGAUUUAUCGCUGAAAGAUGAGCUCGCGUCUGAUUAGCUAGUUGGUAAGGUAACGGCUUACCAAGGCGACGAUCAGUAGCCGGACUGAGAGGUUGAUCGGCCACAUUGGGACUGAGACACGGCCCAGACUCCUACGGGAGGCAGCAGUGGGGAAUAUUGCACAAUGGAGGAAACUCUGAUGCAGCGAUGCCGCGUGAGGGAAGAAGGUUUUAGGAUUGUAAACCUCUGUCUUCAGGGACGAAAAAAAGACGGUACCUGAGGAGGAAGCUCCGGCUAACUACGUGCCAGCAGCCGCGGU